UACGGAGGGGGCGAGCGUUAAUCGGAAUUACUGGGCGUAAAGCGUGCGCAGGCGGUUUUGUAAGCCAGAUGUGAAAUCCCCGGGCUUAACCUGGGAAUGGCAUUUGGGACUGCAAGGCUCGAGUGCGGCAGAGGAGACUGGAAUUCCUGGUGUAGCAGUGAAAUGCGUAGAUAUCAGGAGGAACACCGAUGGCGAAGGCAGGUCUCUGGGCUGACACUGACGCUCAUGCACGAAAGCGUGGGGAGCAAACAGG
rnacentral:rRNA from 1 species